rnacentral:lncRNA from 1 species
ACCAGCGGUGGCGUUGCGCUUGGAUGGGCUUGGCGGGCCUCGUCGAUGGGCUCUGCGGGCUCCAUCGAUGGGAUCGCUGGAUUUUUUUUGUUUUUUUAUGUUAUUAACCGAGGCGGGCAUCAAACCGCUUCGAAAAAGAUCUCAUUAACUGUGACCUUUGAUCCGAGGCGGUUGGCUAAAACGUCUCAGUUAAUCUUUUUUGCCCGCCUCGGUUAAUAUUUUGUGUAGUAGUGUUAAUUGUUUGAGAUUACAUAAAAAUAUAAUUGGUUAAGUUUCUUUAAAUCAGCUUUGCACAUCUACGAAUGCGGCACCAUAGCUCACGGUUUGCUGGCAGCAGCCGUUCAGCCUGUCGCGUAUUAAUGGCCAACUCAUUGUCGCCCUCACAAAUUUUUAGAGGCACUCACAAUAC